rnacentral:rRNA from 4 species
UCGAUGGCGGACGGGUGAGUAAUGUCUGGGAAAGCUGCCUGACGGAGGGGGAUAACUACUGGAAACGGUAGCUAAUACCGCAUAAUGUCGCAAGACCAAAGAGGGGGACCUUUCGGGCCUCUUGCCAUCGGAUGUGCCCAGAUGGGAUUAGCUUGUUGGUGGGGUAACGGCUCACCAAGGCGACGAUCCCUAGCUGGUCUGAGAGGAUGACCAGCCACACUGGAACUGAGACACGGUCCAGACUCCUACGGGAGGCAGCAGUGGGGAAUAUUGCACAAUGGGCGCAAGCCUGAUGCAGCCAUGCCGCGUGUAUGAAGAAGGCCUUCGGGUUGUAAAGUACUUUCAGCGGGGAGGAAGGGAGUAAAGUUAAUACCUUUGCUCAUUGACGUUACCCGCAGAAGAAGCACCGGCUAACUCCGUGCCAGCAGCCGCGGUAAUACGGAGGGUGCAAGCGUUAAUCGGAAUUACUGGGCGUAAAGCGCACGCAGGCGGUUUGUUAAGUCAGAUGUGAAAUCCCCGGGCUCAACCUGGGAACUGCAUCUGAUACUGGCAAGCUUGAGUCUCGUAGAGGGGGGUAGAAUUCCAGGUGUAGCGGUGAAAUGCGUAGAGAUCUGGAGNGGAAACCGGUGGCGAAGGCGGCCCCCUGGACAAAGACUGACGCUCAGGUGCGAAAGCGUGGGGAGCAAACAGGAUUAGAUACCCUGGUAGUCCACGCCGUAAACGAUGUCGACUUGGAGGUUGUGCCCUUGAGGCGUGGCUACCGGAGCUAACGCGUUAAGUCGACCGCCUNGNNGNGNGANGUACGGCCGCANAGGUUAAAACUCAAAUGAAUUGACGGGGGCCCGCACAAGCGGUGGAGCAUGUGGUUUAAUUCGAUGCAACGCGAAGAACCUUACCUGGUCUUGACAUCCACAGAACUUUCCAGAGAUGGAUUGGUGCCUUCGGGAACUGUGAGACAGGUGCUGCAUGGCUGUCGUCAGCUCGUGUUGUGAAAUGUUGGGUUAAGUCCCGCAACGAGCGCAACCCUUAUCUUUUGUUGCCAGCGGUCCGGCCGGGGAACUCAAAGGAGACUGCGAGUGAUAAACUGGAGGGA